AAGAAAGAUGCAUAAAUUAAAUUUAUAAUUUUGAGAAUUUGAUUACUUACCUUUACAUUUUUAGAUUCGCAGCGCUUAGCUCAAGGAUCACCACUACUAGGAUCCCUACAUGUUGGCUCCCGUAGAGAUUGAGCAUAGGAGGAUACUUCUAGUUGGCCCUGCUUACUGGACAUGGUACUUAGUGAGCAGAUUUAUAGCUAGGAGAGAGGGCCCAACCUAUGGCUGAUCUUGUUGACAAGGAGCUAGCAGUAAGUCUCAAGGGGUAUGACGACCUUGAAGAUCUCAUCAUUCAGUCAUGGAGGACUAAUUAUGCAUCCUUUAUGAUGCAGUUGUUGAGUUCUCACGCUCUACACCUCGGGUUUCUAAAUUAAAGGAAGGGUGACCCACUCGUCGUCCUAGGCCCAUUUGCAUCUCGGGUAUCAACCAUUGCUGCUUCAGAGGCACCUACCGUAAUGGUCUCACAUGUCAUUGUGGGAAGUAUCUUGUUUCUCCUAGAUCCUACGGUGUCUUAUUGAAGUCCUUCCAGUAUUGUGGAUCAACGGUUGGCCAUAGAGUCAAGCCUCCCUUCAUAUUUCACUCGUAGCAGUUGUAUGCACAUUCGGAGAGACCAAUUUGAGCACAUACACCGACUUACUACUGCUGUAAUGAGACUGAAGGAGGGAUCAUGAGGGCUUGCAGGGGUAGGUGGAUGCCCACCAGCACUAGAUUGAGAUCAUAAUGCUUUAAUUGUCAGCUCUUCGGACCUAAGGUAUAGAGGCUGACUCUGACGGGGGGAUGGAUGACUCAAGAG